AACGAACGCUGGCGGCAGGCUUAACACAUGCAAGUCGAACGCCCCGCAAGGGGAGUGGCAGACGGGUGAGUAACGCGUGGGAAUCUACCUAGUUCUACGGAACAACACAGGGAAACUUGUGCCAAUACCGUAUACGCCCUACGGGGGAAAGAUUUAUCGGAAUUAGAUGAGCCCGCGUUGGAUUAGCUAGUUGGUGGGGUAAUGGCCUACCAAGGCGACGAUCCAUAGCUGGUCUGAGAGGAUGAUCAGCCACACUGGGACUGGGACACGGCCCAGACUCCUGCGAGAGGCAGCAGUGGGGAAUAUUGGACAAUGGGCGCAAGCCUGAUCCAGCCAUGCCGCGUGAGUGAUGAAGGCCUUAGGGUUGUAAAGCUCUUUCAGUGUGGAAGAUAAUGACGGUACCCACAGAAUAAGCCCCGGCUAACUUCGUGCCAGCCGCCGCCGUAAUAC
rnacentral:rRNA from 1 species